UUGGAGGGCAAGUCUGGUGCCAGCAGCCGCGGUAAUUCCAGCUCCAAUAGCGUAUAUUAAAGCUGUUGCAGUUAAAAAGCUCGUAGUUGAAAUUCGAAAUUUGUCCUAUGGUCGGGCUUUACGGUCCGUACAGUAGUGGCGAAUUUCUACCUUCUGAAGAACCUUCAUGUCAUCAAUUUGGUGUGUUGGGAAAUCAGGACUGUUACUUUGAAAAAAUUAGAGUGUUUAAAGCAGGCUUAAGUCUGAAUACAUUAGCAUGGAAUAAUGAAAUAGGACGGAUUGGUUCUAUUUUGUUGGUUUCUAGGAUCACCGUAAUGAUUAAUAGGGAUAGUUGGGGGCAUUAGUAUUCAAUUGUCAGAGGUGAAAUUCUUGGAUUUAUUGAAGACUAACUUCUGCGAAAGCAUUUGCCAAGGAUGUUUUCAUUAAUCAAGAACGAAAGUUAGGGGGUCGAAGACGAUCAGAUACCGUCGUAGUCUUAACCAUAAACUAUGCCGACUAGGGAUCGGACGAAGUUAAUUUUAUAAUGACGCGUUCGGCACCUUACGGGAAACCAAAGUGUUUGGGUUC
rnacentral:rRNA from 1 species